AGGAUUAUAUUUAAUUAUAAUACUUGAUUUGCAUUCAAGAAGUGCUCUAUAGCUAAUCUUU
rnacentral:tRNA from 1 species